rnacentral:rRNA from 1 species
GACGAACGCUGGCGGCGUGCUUAACACAUGCAAGUCGAACGGAAAGGCCUGCUUUCCCUUGUGGAUUGCGGUUACUCGAUUGUCGAACGGGUGAGUAACACGUGAGUGAUCUUCCCCCAACUUGUGUAUAAGCCUGGGAAACUGGGUCUUAUUCCCGAUAGGACUGCAGGGUGGUUCCUGUGGUGGAAAACGAUUUUCUAGUGGUUGGGGAUGAGCUCGCGGCCUAUCAGCUUGUUGGUUGGGUAAUGGCUUACCAAGGCGGCGACGGGUAGCCGGCCUGGGAGGGUGGACGGGGAAAGUGGGACUGAGAUACGGCCAAGACUCCAACGGGAGGAAGCAGUGGGGAAUAAUGAACAAUGAGCGGAAGACUGAUGCAGCGACGCCGCGUGGGGGAUGACGGCCUUCGGGUUGUAAACUCCUUGCGACAGAGAGGAAGCCACCUGGUUGGAAGGGUGGUGACGGUAGUGGUAGAAGAAGCACCGGCUAACUACGUG